GUACUCGCUUCCGUGGUACAUACACUAACAUUCGAACGAUACGGACAGGGUAAGCAUGGAAUCUCCACAAGGAUGAGACGCAAAAUCAUUAAGCGUAAAACUCGAAC